GUUAAUUAUGUAUUAAAUAUAGUUGAGCAAGUAUAAAAUUUGUAAUUACUUAUCACAAAGUAAAUAAAAAAUAAAAAAAAAAUUAAUUAUGCCAUAUGAGUACUCAAGAUAUGCACACAUGGAAAUAUUACAAUAAUACAUAAGAGUACUGAAGUAAUAAUAGUUUGAUUUGUGGUGGUUGCACUAUCGUACGGCAAUCUUGUCGGCUUAUCGUCUUUAAAAUGUGUAAACCCAACACCCCUCCUAACAGAGCCGUAGUGUUUUAGUGUAUUGUUGUAUAAAUAUAUCUAGUCAUUACCGAGUAAUGGAUCAAAUAAGUUGUGCUGUAUUCUACUAUAAUAUUUUAAAAACGGCGUCAAAUUCAUUGAUUAUUUUCAAUUUGAUGGACAGACAUUUGAGUAAUUAUGUACUGAAGUCGAUCAAACUAAGCAGAAAAAACGACAAAUACAAAUAAUAGAAAAAGCAAAGACAAUGAGCAAACUGGCAACGUGGUAUUGACAAACUCAAACAACCGUUUUCAGUAGAUGGAAAAAAUAUUUUAAAAGCGGCGACAAAUUCAUUGAUUAUUAUCAAUUGGAUAGACAGACAUUUGCGAAAAUUAAUACUGGAUCGAGCCACAAGUAGUAUAAGCAAUAAAUUCAAAUAAAAGAUUAGUUCAUAAGCCAACUGGCAACGUGGUGUUCAUAAACAUUAUACACGUUUUUAACGCACUGUCCCUUUAGACUUCUCAAAACAACAUUGCCAGUUUGCUUUAAACUUAUACCGCGACCACGCAACGAGUGACCAUUGAAUAAGACUGGAUCAUUUUAUUUUACAAUUUGCCCGCCAUUUGCGUUCUCUUAUACAGUAUAUUAACUGUACAUUGUUCGACAGAUUAUUCGUCCUUUACCAACAUUAACAACUAUACUAAUGUCUGAUCAGCACUAGUGUUUAUACAGUUCAACUAUGAAUAUGCGGCGUGCGGGUGUAAACAAACCGUUUACACUCUUCUUGAAUUAAUCAAAAACGUAAAGAAAACAGUCGACAUUCUAUCACUCUUGCGACAACUCAACUCUAUUGUUCCGAUAACUCGUACAGUAUAAUCGUGAGUACUAAAAUAAAUACUAUUAUUGUUUUACUUAUUUUUAUUAUUAUUUUGGGUUGUGUACACUCGUCGCCGUCGCUCAUCUAACUUUGAUACCAUCAACAUCUCUAGAGAUCCAGUCAGGUAAUAUAUUAUUUUAGAUCAUAUAUUUGAAUAAUAGUCACAUGGAUCAAUGAGUAUUUAUUAAGAACUACUCGUCUUUUAAUUUUGAGAACACUAGAAGGGUCACAUCAAUAGUUUUAAAAACUAUUCGAAUAUAUUGUGUAACUAUCGAAUAUUUUUACUAUUCGAAUAUUUUUUGAAUGACUAUCGAAUAAUUCGAUAGUUUCUAUUCGAUAUUUCCCAUCACUAAUAAAUAGGUCUUUUAAAAAGCUUUGUCUAAUACAGCUUUUAAAAAACUGCCCAGAAUCACUCUAGCCUAGUCAACUUCUUGCGGUACAAACAAGGACACUCGACCAAAUUAGCUGAUAUAAUUAAAUAAAAUCUUGGCGUCUAUUUAAUAACACCCAACGAGACAUGUUGGAAUUCAUUGUAUGAUGCAGUGUUGUUGCUUAAUAAAUUAAAUAAAAAUAAUGAACUUAAAUUUAGAAUUAUUAUGAAUUAAUUGUCUAUUAUGAGGUUAAUACUAAAAUAAAAUAAAUGAUUUAUUGUUACUUUUUUGUAUAUGUAUAUAUUUGCAGAUUUAAUAAAUAUGACAUUGAAUUUUUGAAUCAAUAUCAAAAAAUAAUGGGACCUUGAUUUACUUUAAAUUAUGAUAUUAACUUAUGUUUUUGUAAACUUUUACCUACUUUUAAAGAGGUAAUUUAUAAAUUUGGGCCAAUGAUACAUGAUCACACAUUUCCUCAUUAUAUGCAAGGUCUGGUAACUCCUAUACUAAAUGGUUUGUAACAAUAACUAUAAAGCAAUAUAACUUUAUGAGAAUUUAUCUCAAUACAAUAUUUGUUGUUUAUGUUGUGCGAAAUAAUACACAAAAAUACACUAUCAGCUAAGUAAAUUUAUUAUCUUACCCAUUUAAUCAUUUUUAUUUUAUUUUAUUAGUACAGAAACGAGGUUUUCAGAUUCUUUGAUGAACACAUUUUUAAUUACUUCUACUGUCUGCAUUCCACAAUUGAAAACUGUCUGGAUUAAAAAUUAAAUUAUGACCAAAUUCAUGAUUUAUCUAACUUCUUUACCGGGACACAAAAUGUCCAUGAGGAAAAGUCAUCAGUUUGUGAUGAAAUUGACAGAAUAUUGGUUGAUUAUACAGCCAAAAUAUAAGAAUGUUUACAUAAUUUAUGCAUAAUUAAAAAAUUUUUCAUUAAAUACAACACUCCUUUACCAAUCAGUGCAUCAGUUGAGAGAGUUUUUAGUGUGGGUGGUGCUACAAUUACUAAUGUACAAUUAUUAGCACUUAGGUUUUAACUAAUAUAUUUUGUUACACAAGUUGAUUUUUUCUUACUAGAAUUUAUAAGUUAAAAAUUUUAUUAGAAUUCAGAUUUGUGUAAGAUCUAUAUUUGUUUUUAAAUAAUAUAUUUUUUUAAUUUGUUUAUAAAAUGCACUUAUUGGCACCAUUAUUGCGUAUUCGCAUUGCUGUCCGACUUUCUCGAAAUUUCUACUUGGAGCAGUGGAGUAUUUAGGAAUUUUCCAUGGGAGGGGUCCAAUUUUUUUUUUGGUGAUGACCUUCUUUUUUUGCUCACCAAAGACUAGUAUUUUAUUUUUGAUACCCAAAUAAUUAAAUUAAAUCAAAAAGCUUUAUAUUAUAUUCAAAGUAAGUACAAAUUGUAAGAUGAUUUACAAAGAAAAAUUAAAUCGGCGCUUUGUA